CUCGAUCAGCGAGCUCCGAACUGUCGCACGCGGCGAAUAAGUAGAAGAGGAAGAAGUGUCUUGCAUCGGGGAAAAAGAGGAGCGAGGAAGACGACAGGUUAGCGGAUUAGAGUCGUAUAAAGGAUUCACUAACACAAGCAGAUGAUGGGCUUGGGUGCCACUUCUGUCUCUUCUUCUUCUUCUUCUUCUUGUUUUCAAAAUUGAUAAUGUUGUUGUUCUUAUGAAGGAAGCACGAGAAGGGAGGUCGUGAUGGAAGUUUUGGGCUAUGGAAACGGAAUUUGAGGUAGAGAGAGCCAUGUCUUGAGCGGGUGUGGAGAUCCUAUCGUGGUGGCUCCAAA
rnacentral:lncRNA from 1 species